ACGGGAGGCAGCAGUGAGGAAUAUUGGUCAAUGGGCGGGAGCCUGAACCAGCCAAGUAGCGUGGAGGAAGACGGCCCUACGGGUUGUAAACUCCUUUUGCCGGGGGAUAAAAAACGGGACGUGUCCCGUCUUGCAGGUACCCGCGCGAAUAAGGACCGGCUAAUUCCGUGCCAGCAGCCGCGGUAAUACGGAAGGUCCAGGCGUUAUCCGGAUUUAUUGGGUUUAAAGGGAGCGUAGGCGGAUUAUCAAGUCAGUGGUAAAAUCGUGUGGCCCAACCAUACCUCGCCAUUGAAACUGUUAGUCUUGAGUGCACGCAGGGAUGCUGGAAUUCGUUGUGUAGCGGUGAAAUGCUUAGAUAUGACGAAGAACUCCGAUCGCGAAGGCAGGUGUCUGGAGUGCAACUGACGCUGAGGCUCGAAAGUGCGGGUAUCAAACAGGAUUAGAUACCCUGGUA
rnacentral:rRNA from 1 species